AUGUCCCUACAUCUUGCAUGUUGGGUGGUUGGUGAAAUAAUCAAGCUUGUACACCUUGAGAGGUUGAACCAUGAACCUACACCCGUGCACGAGCAGCGGCCACCCAAUAACCUAGCCGCCGGCCGCCAGACGCCACCUCCUAGUCCAGCGGCGCCUCCCCGCCCCCUCGUCGUUGCUGGGUCCUCGCCGAGCGCCGCCUCCCCGCCGGACGCCGUCAUCAGCCGAGCGCCCGAGCCUGCACGAGGGACGGGGCCACGGGGUAGCCGGGCUGCACCUGCCGGGAAGCUUGUCGCCCACGACGCCCAGGGAUCUAUGCAGGUCGCCGGAUCCGCCGACUCCCCACUGGACGUCGGACGCCUCUCUGCAGGGCUCUCUGCAGAAAUGAAGAGAAAGAGGACUCUGCAUAGUUGGUUUGCAACCUACCCCGAUAGAGAACAUAAUCCCGAUGAUCCAACAAAUGAGAGCACUAAUCCCUCGGUUGAUGAGAGCACUAAUCCCUCGGUUGAUGAGAGCACCAAUCCCACUUCAAAUGAGAGAACCAAUCCCCCAACCGAUGAGAGCACAAACCAACCAGCACCACCAACACAAUAUAUAUUAGAAUUUCAUCCAAGUCAGAUUUUUGGUGAUCUGGCGGAUCGAAUACCAAUAGAAGAUUAUGCCCCUGUAAUUCGAAGUGAAAUAUCAUCUGGAACUGGUUUACAUCAAGAAACUAACCUAGCUAGACCAGGAGCUACUCGUUGGGGCUCAAAUCUUAGAACCUUGCUUCGUGUUUACACAAUGUGGAAUGCAGUGGUGGAUGUGCUUGCAAUUGUGAUUGAGGAUGCCCGGGAACACACUUCUCAAGGUGGAGCUUUAGGUUUGUUGGUACAGAUGGAAUGCUUCCAAUUUGUGUUCAUCAUGAUAUUCUUAAUAAACUUGUUGAACAUCACAAAUAUGCUAUCACAAGCUUUGCAAAGGAAAAAUCAAGAUGUUGUCGAAGCCAUGCGUUUGAUCUUGGAUGUGAAAGAAGCUUUGCAAACUAUGAGGGACAAUGGGUAUGAGCCAUUAUGCGAGCAAGCAAAAAACUUUUUUGAGGAACAUGGCAUUGACGUGCCAAAUAUGGAUGAUCUUGUUGGAGCUAUGGGGCAAUCUGCUUGA
rnacentral:rRNA from 1 species